rnacentral:tRNA from 1 species
GCGAGAGUAGCUCAGUUGGUAGAGCGUCAGCCUUCCAAGCUGAAUGUCGUCGGUUCGAACCCGGUCUCUCGCUCUA